AAACAAGCUCUGGUCAGGAAACAAGCUUGGUGCUAUGCACGCAGAAGAGGUAAGGAAGAUUCCUCUCUGUUCUAAAUCUAAUGUACCCAAAAAAAUUUGCAUCAAAGUAUUUUGUACUGGGGUUCCUGGUGUAUUUUAUAUAUACACAAGAACAUAUAUGAGUACGAAAUAUAUAUAUAUACAUACAUAUAUAUAUAUAUAUAUAUAAUGCUUAUAUGGUGAGUGUUCCUGAAGUGCUGUCAUCCAAACUUAUUUUUGUGACUUCACAAGAAGCAGUUCAAAUGUAUUAGAAAGCAAGUUGCAAACUCUAGUUUUAGACUGAUAAAAUCAUCUAGGCGUGCCUAUGAUAUAAUUCUAUAGAUAUAUGCAUCUAUAACAUAUAUAAAACUGAUUUCAUUUACAUGAACUCCUUGUCUACACUAAGCCAGGAAUUGCCAAAGACUUGUUUUGAAGUUGAGACAGGAACAAUCCAUUAUUACUGAUUUCCAGAAUGCUUCCUUAUUUCAGGGGAAUAAAGAUCCUGUCUUUGGCAAAUUCCUCAAUGUAGAAGUACCUGCACUCAUAUAAGCAUUCCCUUUAUUUCUCUUUUAAUUUCAAAAAAAAAGUUAAUACAUGUGAAUCUGAUUUAUUCACAUUACUUUAGUCUGGGUUUUUUGCAUCUAUAAUUGCUCUUAAGGUUAUUGCACCUUGCCAGAAAGAAACCAAAGCAUAAAAAAUUUCCUCUGUACUAAAAUUUUCCUAAUGAUGAUUGAAAGCAUUUUCUUCAUUAGAGUCUAUGCCUUUUCAGAUCAGUACUUAGAAAGUCAAGUUUCUGGUAAAUUCUCAAAGGUAGGAAAUAAUAGGAUUAGAAAUGUUUUUCUUAAGUUUUUCAAAAUCAAAAUUGUUUCAAAGAAUUUUGCUGGACUGAUCUUUGCUAUUAGUUUCAGAUUUUACAGAAUACCAUUCCUUAGAUUUAUUCAGCCUUCCCAAACGUCUGUCACUGAAUUGGACUGCAUCAAUUGGUAAGAAAUAAAAUCUUUUUUAAAAUUCCAACUUAAGAUAUACUCCUUUUGUAAUAUAUUAUGUUUAUGGAAUGCUCUUUCAGUAAAUGUGAAACAGAUUUCUAAUCCAUUCCAAGGACUUCGAAACACUUGGCAUUAAUUAAUACAAGAGAGUGUCUUGUUUAUCAGUUGGGAUUGUGUAUUUUAUUAAAAACAAAUUAUUACUUUGAGAGGAUGCUUGGAUAAAUGUUGAAAUAAUGUUCCUUGAAUAGUUGAGUUUAGUACAAAAAAUCAAUUUCUAUUUCUUUUGUUUCAAUUAAUAAAAUAAUAUAUAGACUACUAGUUAGAAUUAUUUUAAGGAUAUAUUUAGCAAUAUAUAAAGUAAAUAUCAGCUUAAACUGAUAUAAAUAAGCAUAACUAUGCCUGUACUUUCAAGGGCAUGGUUACAAACUGAGAAGGUAGCUCCAAAGUAGUUACACCUGCAACACCCUGAUCUUUACAAAGACUUUUAUAAGCCUAUGGAGCCUUUUUGCUUCUAAGAAUAAGAUUGUUUACUUUGAAGUUGAUGCCUUCAGUUAUGCUUCAUGGCAAGUAUUAAUAACAGCUCAUGUCCAAAAUGUGUAAGCCCAGCUGCUGUUCUUUACAGUCCUAACUCAGGUAUGUGUUUUAGUUGUGUGCCAUUUUGCAUUUUCCUCAGUACUUUUGGUUGGUUUGACUUGUGAAACUGGAAAAGCAAUCGACAAUUAUUUGGAGGGGGACAUUCUACAUUAUAAAUCUGAUCUAGGUUCUGCUGUUCUCAGAAUUCACAUAAUUUUUUUUAAUAUUUAAAAUUUAAAAAACCCAAAACCUGAUUUGAUUAUCUUCAUUUUCAGUCAAAAAAGAUCCAAGCCCAGCUGAAAGAGCUUCAUUAUGGGAAAAAGGAUUUGAUUUUUAAGGAGUCCCAGCUGAAAGCUCUGAAGGAGACUGUGCAGCUUUGCCUGUGCUCCGUUCUGCGCAGUCAGCCUCCCGCAGCGAGUCUGAUCUCCUCCAAACCAGCUGAGAAGCUGCCUUCCUCCAAUGCAAAGGGCUCCCAAGCCCCAUCCCAAGGCACAAGCACCAAGGUAUGAUUUCACUCUUGGGUGGGGUUUUUUUUAACAUCUUUGAAAGUUUGUCUUGUAAGAGCAUCAAACUGAAACUAAGGAGGAUUUCAAAUCCGUUGGAAGAUUAUGACAAAUUUUGAGGAUAAUUCUAAGACUGUUUCCGUUGUCAAUAAAUAGUUUUUUUUUUAUCUGGGAAGCAGCUACAUUUUACUGAAUAACAAAAUUCUGUCACUUGGUAAAUGGAUUGAUAGUGUCUGCAGGACAAAUCUACAAUGCAGAUGGAUUUGCAUUUAAAAUAAAUGAGGGUGCUAAUUCGUAGGAUCAUUUACCUGUCAGGCACUGAAAGUGAAUUUGUGGUAAUACAGCACUAAACAGUUAUAUGAGGUUUGCAUAUCACGGUUUCUCUCAGUGGAAAAAAAAAUUAUAUAAAAAUCAUAAAAUCAUCUGGGACACCCAAAUCAAAAUUGCCAAAAUGGAUCGAUGAACUUGACAGUAGGGAAUAGGGAAUAUUCCAGUUUUGCAAGAUGCGAAGGACAGUUUCAGGGAAACCUGAGGAAAAAAAGAAAGAUAAAAACUGGUUUGAGUCAGGAAAUUCAAAUAUUGUAAUACAGUUAAGAUUCAUGUUGAUUAACAACUGUCCUAGUAAUUUUCAUUUCCCGUGUUGCAUUUUGCUCCUGAAUUCAACUGAUUGAAUAGAUAGAACUAGAAGAAAUCUAUAAUUUCAGUGAAAAGGAAGUUAUACAGAGAAAUGACUGAAGGACACUUCAAUGUCCUCUUUUCAUUACAAAACUGAAAUAAAAAUAGGAAUUGCUAACUCAUAGCCAAUUUGCAGUUUGUAUAUGGCAGUUGUUGGUAUUUACUGUUAGUGCACAGGCUGAAGCCAAAAAUUAGUAAUCUUUCUAUAUGUAAUUAAAAUACAAUUUCAGAAAGCAGGAUGCAAUUAUUAAACUGAAUAUCACAUCGCUACUCUUAAAAUUAUGAUUGUCAGUUUAUUAAUAACUGUUUUGCAGGAAAGACCAUGAUUCCCAAAAAUUGUUACCUCUGGGAAAAAAAAGUACUGUAUUUAUGAUUAGCAGCAGAUGGGUAUGAUAGUGCUCAUUUAGAUUAAGCUCCCUGGAUCCAUGUUCUGAAGGAUGGCAGACUUUCCUUUUGUAGGUUUGCAAGCUGAGCAGCUCUCUGAGAUCUCAGGAGCAUAUUGUUCCUAGUUAAUGUGGCUGUAGAAUUGUUUAGCUUGCUCUUAUUGUCCUUUUCUUCAGGUUGGAAGUGUUCAUGCCUCUGUCAUGAGAGGAGUACUGAAGGAUAAGGGCCAGCUAGACAGCAUGUCUCUGUUUAAGAUUGGUCCAGGGUCAGAGCCUUUGGAGAAUUUGGGGUCUCCUUCAUGUUACAUAGGGACAUGAGAAUACAGAUAGAGAUUAGAAUUAGGUUUUUGAUAUUUGACUGAAAUACAGAGUACUCUUCCUUCUUUUUUUUUUCAGUUAUCUGAAUACAGUCAAGGGAAAUGGAAAAAAGUACCUGGUAUCUCUUUUUCAGUCUGUAACACCCCCUCCCAGCACACACACACCACACAAAAUAUCUUUUUCCUUCAAGUUUUAGUGGCACAAUCUUUAUCUUCAGUUCAUUAACUAUUUGACAUUGUUCCUCUUUGUUGCAGAGUGUACGUAGCUGGAAUGGCCCAUUACCUCAGGGUUCAACUGGGCAUUGCUGGGCGGGAGUUGAAAUCACUGCGGGGUGGGAUAUUGAUGGUGGGGUGGGCUUAGAGACCCUGGGGCAUGAGCUGAAGUGCUGCAGAGCUGGAGCCGAAGCCAAGAUCACCCCUGUGAUGCUGGAGAAACGCAGAGCAGGAGCUGGAAGAAGAGAGCUGGCAGUGAAAUAAAGCUUGUGGUUCAAGAGCUGAAAUCACUGGGGCUGGGAAAGGGGAUUUGUAGGGCGGGUGCUGUAAUCACUGCUGGGCUGGCAAAGGGACUGCACACACCAUAGGAACCGAAGGGCUGGCACUGGGACUGUGGGGUUCUUGCGGCGACAUCCCUUUACGCCUCUGACAUGGAUGCUGAGGCUGGGCUUGUGACUGAAACUAGAACAGGAUGUAUGG
ensembl:lncRNA